rnacentral:rRNA from 1 species
GAGUUUGAUCCUGGCUCAGAACGAACGCUGGCGGCGUGGAUAAGACAUGCAAGUCGAACGAGAGAAUUGCUAGCUUGCUAAUAAUUCUCUAGUGGCGCACGGGUGAGUAACACGUGAGUAACCUGCCCCCGAGAGCGGGAUAGCCCUGGGAAACUGGGAUUAAUACCGCAUAGUAUCGAAAGAUUAAAGCAGCAAUGCGCUUGGGGAUGGGCUCGCGGCCUAUUAGUUAGUUGGUGAGGUAACGGCUCACCAAGGCGAUGACGGGUAGCCGGUCUGAGAGGAUGUCCGGCCACACUGGAACUGAGACACGGUCCAGACACCUACGGGUGGCAGCAGUCGAGAAUCAUUCACAAUGGGGGAAACCCUGAUGGUGCGACGCCGCGUGGGGGAAUGAAGGUCUUCGGAUUGUAAACCCCUGUCAUGUGGGAGCAAAUUAAAAAGAUAGUACCACAAGAGGAAGAGACGGCUAACUCUGUGCCAGCCGCCGCGGUAAUAC